rnacentral:tRNA from 1 species
UGUGACUGCUCAGAAUCGAACUGAGAUUCAUGUUUCCACAGAACACUGCCUUACCAUUAGGCUACAGUCAC